AAACACUCUCUGCUCUCAAACUCUCUCGAAAGUUCUUAAAACCCUAAUCACUUUCUACCAUUUUCAACAUCAAGCUCACCGGAAUCCAUGGCCUCUCAGGCCAUGGAUGGCCUAUACCCAUCUAUCUCUGCUCUUAAAUGCUUGGUGUUCGAAGUUUUAAGGUCUGACCUCGAUAGUGUCCCUUCAGAUUUUCUCUGAUUCAAGGUUCCAUGGCCUCUCCGGCUUUGCUCCGACGUAUCCAAAGCAUUUCGAGCCUGGUUCCGAAGUUUCAAUGUCUGACCUCGAUGGUGCUCAUUCAGGUUUUCUCCGAUUCAAGGUUCCAUAGCCUCUCUAGCUUCUCUCUGGUGUAUCCAAAGCAUUUACAGCCUGGUUCUAACUCAUCUGACUUAGAUCGGGCCUUUUCCAAGCCUUUCUCGCUUUAGGAUUUCUCUGAAACCCAAGCUAUCCGAGGUUCUCUGUUUGUUUUCUUAGAUCGGUUCUAUAUCGAUGCUCUACUUGAGUUUUAAAACGUUUUCCCCAAUUUUUCUUUCAAAAAUUACUUCUCUCUGACUUAGGGUUUUUGAAAACCUUAAAAUGUUUUCUCCGACUGUUCUUUUCCUUUUUCCUUAUGUAUAUUUGUUAUGCAUGUGUUUCUACUGCUUUCUUAUGUUUUGCUACUAUAUAUGUUCUUAUGUGCCUUGUCUUUCUAUUUGUGUUUCUACAGCAUGCUUAUAUGUUUUUCCUAUAUGUCUUGUUGAUAUACUUUUCUGGUAUUUUGUGUUCUCCUACUGUAUGUAUCUCCUACUGAGUUCUUAAGUUCCUUGCUUGCCUUUCUACUAGACCUUGAUUGAGUUCUCUUUAAACAUGUUUCGUCUACUUUUUUCUGAAGUAUUAUACUACCUCUUCUCUCUUCUAGACUUGUUUAAAUCCCAGGUUUUCUUAAACAUAUUCGUUAUACCCGCACAAUGUUCCAAAUUACUUUCUUUACUUUAUUGUUUCAAACUUGCUAUUGUAUCUAUUUGUUUUCUCAUAAGUCUCUGAAAGAGACCUAUGACCUUGCUUCAAUUAUUUGUCUCCUCGUCUAUACAUCUG
rnacentral:lncRNA from 1 species